rnacentral:lncRNA from 1 species
CAGAAGGGAAAGCAGAGCCGGUUCCCUUCUUCCCUCCUCCUCCUCUGCCCAAACCCCUUCCUGUCCCCUCUUCUUUCUCUCUCACUUGCUCCGCCUGGAGCAGCUGCUGAAUGGUGAAAGAGCAUAACUGCCUUUCCUGCCAGCGGCUGAGAUAAGAGCCAGGUGGUCUCAGUGAAUGACCAAGGGCCAAUGAGAUGGAAGAGCUGAAUCUUAUUCCUGACCAUUCUGACCAACAUAGUGGUCUCAGCAGCAUGGAGCAGGUAUCCAUCCCUUGGGACUCGUCUGAAUCCAUAGAAUGAGGGGCGGACCUUUGUCCAUCUCCUCCCUGGAGGGGAGAUUCAGUUCUUCAGAAACCCACACCAAUGAGGAAGAAGAAGGAGGAGGAAGAGGAGGAGAAGGAGCAUGAAGAGGAGGGGGAGGUGUGUGGGAAGGAGAGGAGAAAGAAGAAAAACCAACAUCAUGAUUAUUAGAAGCGUUCGUCCCCACGUAAUCAGAUUUCUGAGUUGACUGGUAGACAUAUGAUUUCAUCUGGCUAGUUGCACUUAUACCAAAAGCAAAGUUUCUUUUUACCAAAUCCUAUUUCCUAUUGCUGGGACCUGGGGAAAUAUUACCUAGUAUUAUGGCUUGGUCUAGAUGUCGCCC